rnacentral:piRNA from 1 species
UGCAGUCCAGUGAGGCCAAGUG